rnacentral:rRNA from 1 species
AUGCCACUCAUUAAGGUCCACAAACGUGGGGCUAUAGGCCGCUCCAUUGACAUCGGUAGGUUCUCUGAAUACGGAGAAUUAUAUCAAGCUUUGGCCCACAUGUUUGGCAUCGAAGGGCAACUCGAAGAACGACAGACUAAAGGUUGGACGUGUCUCUACCAGGAUGAUGAGGGUGACUUCCUACUUCUCGGUGAUGGCCCAUGGGAGGAGUUUGUGAUCAGCAUCAAGUCCAUUCAGAUCAUGUCACCUCAAGAGGUUGACCAGAAGUUUCUGCAGAAGCUGGGUGGUGGUUUAGCAUCAAGGCUGUAG